CCACUGCUGAUGAGUCCCAUGAUGGGACGAAACAUUUGUCCAGUGU
rnacentral:hammerhead_ribozyme from 1 species